rnacentral:tRNA from 1 species
GUGCCCUUAGCUCAGAGGCAGAGCAACCGACUCAUAAUCGGUAGGUCGUGGUAUCGUAAUCCACAGGGCGCACCA